rnacentral:tRNA from 1 species
GAAAAAUUAGUUAAUAAACAUAACGUCAGAAUGUCAAACUGAAAUAAUCAUAUUGAUAUUUUUCA